rnacentral:misc_RNA from 1 species
AACGGUCUAUACCUGCGGUACCUGCGGAGGGAUCAUUAUAGAGUGGUAAACCCCCCGUAAAAGGGGGGACCUCCUGUCCUUUGUAGGCUCUUUUUUAAAAGGGCUUUUUUUAAUUUUCUGCUUCGGUGGGGUUAUCCCACCGGAACAACCUCAAAACUCUUAUCAAAAAAUCGUUCUGUCUGAGAACCUUUUAUAAUAAAAAAAAACUUUCAGCAACGGAUCUCUAGAUCGGAAGAGCAC